GAUGAACGCUGGCGGCGUGCCUAAUACAUGCAAGUCGAGCGAACGGACUAUAAUCUUUCUACUCUAAUAAUUUCGGCGGAAGGGGGAGUGACACAUGGAUAACAUCCCUAUCAUACUCUGAGAACAUCGUUGAAAACGAUCUCAAACCCCAGAAAAUUUUAUUAACUGUAUGUCUGAAGUUUAAGAGUUGCUUUCUCUAACAUCAUGAUAUGUCCGCGCUGCAUUAGCUAGUUGGUAAGGUAAAGGCCUACCAAGGCAACGAUGCAUAGCCGACCUGAGAGGGUGAUCGGCCACACUGGAACUGAGACACGGCCCAGACUCCUACGGGAGGCAGCAGUAGGGAAUCUUCCGCAAUGGGCGAAAGCCUGACGGAGCAACGCCGCGUGAGUGAUGAAGGUCUUCGGAUCGUAAAACUCUGUUAUUAGGGAAGAACAUAUGUGUAAGUACCUGAGCCCAUCGAGACGGUACCUAACCAGAAAGCCACGGCUAACUACGUG
rnacentral:rRNA from 1 species